GACGAACGCUGGCGGCGCGCCUAACACAUGCAAGUCGAACGAGCGAGAGAGAGCUUGCUUUCUUGAGCGAGUGGCGAACGGGUGAGUAACGCGUGAGGAACCUGCCUCAAAGAGGGGGACAACAGUUGGAAACGACUGCUAAUACCGCAUAAGCCCACGACCCGGCAUCGGGUUGAGGGAAAAGGAGCAAUCCGCUUUGAGAUGGCCUCGCGUCCGAUUAGCUAGUUGGUGAGGUAACGGCCCACCAAGGCGACGAUCGGUAGCCGGACUGAGAGGUUGAACGGCCACAUUGGGACUGAGACACGGCCCAGACUCCUACGGGAGGCAGCAGUGGGGAAUAUUGCAAAAUGGGGGAAACCCUGAUGCAGCGACGCCGCGUGGAGGAAGAAGGUCUUCGGAUUGUAAACUCCUGUUGUUGAGGAAGAUAAUGACGGUACUCAACAAGGAAGUGACGGCUAACUACGUG
rnacentral:rRNA from 1 species